rnacentral:rRNA from 1 species
UACGAAGGGGGCUAGCGUUGCUCGGAAUCACUGGGCGUAAAGGGUGCGUAGGCGGGUCUUUAAGUCAGGGGUGAAAUCCUGGAGCUCAACUCCAGAACUGCCUUUGAUACUGAGGAUCUUGAGUACGGGAGAGGUGAGUGGAACUGCGAGUGUAGAGGUGAAAUUCGUAGAUAUUCGGAAGAACACCAGUGGCGAAGGCAGCGAACUGGCGCUCGAUUGACGCUCAGGCACGAAAGCAUGGGGAUCAAACAGG